GUGAACUUGGUUGGCUUGAAGCUUUGUUGGUAUUCCUAAAGGGGAUAUGUAAUUGCUCCAUCCAUUGCAGUAUGCCUGUCAUCAGACUGGAAAGAGAGCCAUCAUUUUCAUCAUUGCUUUUAGAUUAGCAUUCCUAAUCUCUAGUGUUCCUGCCUGCUCUGAUGGUGUCUGUAUGCAGUUGUGUCUCAAAACUGAAUUCAGUUGGGUUGAGCUCAAGUUCCUUUUGAUCUACACUCCUAUUUUAACAGAGGGUGCUCAUUCCAUUGUAGAUCUAGAGUAAAUAGUUCUGACCACAUUUUGCAAUUUAAUAUAAUACUAGUAAUAUUGCCAAGUCAAUUUUGCUUGUAUAUGCAAAUUUUAUGAUCAUAGCAGAUUCAGUAAUAGUAAACAGUAAACAUGAGCUACUAGUUUUUAUAUGCAUUCUUCCGUGCACCAUAACAUGUAUGCAUCUCCAUAGUUAUGCAAUUGUGCUUAUUGAUCCCUGCUUUUUUAUAUAUUUAUUAAUUAUUUUUUUACAGGGAAAAUAAUGCUAUAGUUAA
rnacentral:misc_RNA from 1 species